GAUUUCCGCAAUGGGCGAAGCCUGGACGGAACAAUACCGCGUGGAAGGAAAGAAGGUCUUGGGUUGUAAACCUCUUUUUUCAGGGGAAGAAAAGAAUGGCCGUUCCUGGAAGAAACAACCUCCGGUUACUUCCUGGCCGCCGCCGCGGUAAUUACGAAGAAGGCAACGUUUUUCCGGAUUUUUGGGCGUAAAACCGCCCGCGGGGGGUUAUCCAAGCUGCUGGCCAAAAACGGGGGUUCACCUCCAAAAAGCCCUGGAAACUUGACAACUUAAAUGGCGGAAGGGUAAAAGGAAUUUCCGGGGGAACGGUGAAAUUGCUAAAAGUUCGGAAAAACCUUCGUGGGCAAAACCCUCUUCUGGGACGCCAACUGACCUUAAUGAACAAAACUUAGGGAACCGAAGGGAAUUAAAUCCCCCAUUAUCCCUACCCUUAACCAAUGAUACCUAGGGGUGGUUUGUUUCACCCCAAGCCUGGCCGAACUUAAGGCGUUAAUUUUCCCGCCGGGGAAGUCCCCCCCCAGGGGGGAAACACAAAGGAUUUGCCGGGG
rnacentral:rRNA from 1 species